rnacentral:tRNA from 2 species
GAGAAAGACAUAGUGGUUAUGAUGUUGGCUUGAAACCAGCUAUGGAGGNUUCGAUUCCUUCCUUUCUUA